UACAGAGGGGGCAAGCGUUGUUCGGAAUUACUGGGCGUAAAGGGCGCGUAGGCGGCCUGUUAAGUCGGACGUGAAAUCCCUCGGCUCAACCGGGGAACUGCGUCCGAAACUGGCGGGCUUGAAUUCGGGAGAGGGAUGUGGAAUUCCAGGUGUAGCGGUGAAAUGCGUAGAUAUCAGGAAGAACACCCGUGGCUAAGGCGGCUCUCUAGUACGGUACUGACGCUGAGACGCGAAAGCGUGGGGAGCGAACAGG
rnacentral:rRNA from 1 species